UACGUAGGGUGCAAGCGUUGUCCGGAAUUAUUGGGCGUAAAGAGCUCGUAGGUGGCGUGUCGCGUCUGCCGUGAAAGCCCAUGGCUUAACUGUGGGUCUGCGGUGGAUACGGGCAGGCUGGAGGCUGGUAGGGGCAAGCGGAAUUCCUGGUGUAGCGGUGAAAUGCGCAGAUAUCAGGAGGAACACCCGUGGCGAAAGCGGCUCUCUGGGACGGUACUGACGCUGAGACGCGAAAGCGUGGGGAGCGAACAGG
rnacentral:rRNA from 1 species